AAAUCGGAAUCCGUCUGCCUCUUUCCCAAGGCCGUUCCUCCGUGCACCGAAGGGUCCGGCAUCUCUCCUUCGUCGACUAAUUUUUCUUGUCUCCUUCUCCCUAUUUUCCCCCCUCCUUUCCCUUCGCGGAAUCCGAGCCCCUCUCAUCGCCGCCCUCUUCUUUGCCGAUCGAUCGUUGGUCCGUGACAUGAUCGGCUGCGGGGGUGCGGAAGUCCUCCUCAGAGCGUGACGUUUCGCUUCGAUUCGAUCCUGUAGCGGAGGCCAGAUGUUUGAGGCCCACGUGUUGUAUUUGCUUCGAAAAUAUUUGGGAGAAUAUGUUGAGGGACUUUCAAUUGAAGCUCUUAGAAUAAGCGUAUGGAAAGGUGAUGUUGUUCUAAAAGACUUGAAGUUGAAAGCUGAAGCACUGAAUUCUUUGAAGCUUCCUGUCACAGUCAAAGCCGGCUUUGUUGGGACUAUAACCUUAAAGGUUCCCUGGAAAAGCCUUGGCAAAGAACCCGUGGUGGUUCUUAUUGACCGUGUUUUUGUUCUUGCUCACCCUGCUCCUGAUGGACAAAGUCUCAAGGAGGAAGACAUAGAAAAACUCUUUGAAGCCAAACUCCAACAAAUCGAGGAGGUAGAAUUGGCAACCCUUGAAGCGACUACUAGGAGAUCAAAAGAUGAAGCCACGCCUAGUGGAAAUUCAUGGUUGGGCUCUCUUAUUGCGACUAUAAUCGGCAAUCUUAAAGUUACUCUCAGCAACAUUCAUAUCAGAUAUGAAGACACUUUCAGCAAUCCAGGACAUCCUUUUUGUUCGGGGAUCACUCUAUCAAAACUUGCUGCUGUUACCAUGGAUGAGCAGGGUAAUGAAACAUUUGAUACCAGUGGAGCUCUAGACAAGCUGCGUAAGUCCUUGCAACUUCAGAGACUAGCUGUAUAUCAUGAUUCUGACAGCAUCCCUUGGCAACUUGAUAAGAAGUGGGAGGAUUUGAAUCCUGCAGAGUGGAUUGAGAUAUUCCAAGAUGGGAUAGAUGAAUGUUCUAGCCAUGGAGUUUCUAUUUGGGCGAUGAAUCGCAAAUACAUAGUAUCCCCUAUUAAUGGAGUUCUUAAAUAUCAUCGUCUUGGAAAGCAAGAAAGACAGGAUGCUGAGAUUCCUUUUGAGAAAGCUUCGCUCAUCCUUAGUGAUGUUUCUUUAACAAUUUCUGAGGCUCAGUAUUGUGACGGCAUAAAACUCCUUGAAACAAUUUCAAGAUAUAAAACACAUCUUGACAUGUCUCACUUGAGGCCUGUGGUACCGGUUUCAGAGGAUCCUCAGGCGUGGUGGCAUUAUGCUAUGCUGGCAUGUCUGCAGCAGAAAAAACUGUGCUAUUGGUUCUCAUGGGAGAGAAUUAGGCAUCAUUGUCAGCUCCGUCGUCGCUAUGUUCAGUUGUAUGUAACUCAACUGCAACAGUCAAAUGCCGAUAUUUCUGAAAUUAGGCAGAUUGAGAGGAUUCUUGAUUCAAAAGUGAUUAUACUAUGGAGGUUACUUGCACAUGCUAAGGUUGAAUCUGUAAAAUCAAGGGAAGCAUCAAAGCAGAAGGGUAAUUUGAAGAGAAGCUGGUGGUCUUUUGGAUGGCGCACUUCCUCUGGAGAUGCUUCUGUACCAAGUAACUCAGCAGAAUCACAGUUUGUUGAAGAGGAAAAAUUAACUAAAGAAGAAUGGCAGGCAAUCAAUAAAAUGUUGAGUUACCAGCAUGAUGAAGAUGUGAAUUCCUUCUUGGGGAAGGAUUUGCAGAAUAUGAUACAUUUCCUGAUAGAUGCGUCAAUUGGCCAGGCUGCUGCCCGAAUCAUCAAUAUUGAUGAGACAGAGGUUGUCUGUGGUAGAUUUGAACAACUUCAUGUCACCACCAAGCUGUAUCAUAAAAGCAUCCAUUGUGAUGUCUCAUUAAAAUAUUGUGGCUUGUCAUCUCCUGAAGGUUCACUUGCAGAGAGUGUUGUCAGUGAGAGAAAGACCAAUGCUUUGGAGGUCAGUUUUGUACAUGCACCUGUUGGGGAAGAUUUGGAUUGGCGACUUGCAGCAACCACUUCUCCAGGCCAUGUUACGGUGUUGAUGGAAAGCUAUGAACGUUUUCUAGAGUUUGUGAAAAGGAGUAAUGCUGUUAGCCCUACUGUGGCAAUGGAAACUGCCAAUGCUUUGCAGAUGAAGAUAGAACAGGUUACUCGUCGGGCUCAAGAACAGCUUCAGACGGUAUUGGAACAACAGAACAGAUUUUCACUUGAUAUUGAUCUCGAUGCUCCAAAAGUGAGGAUUCCUAUGAGAGCUACUGGAUCUACAUCUAAAGAUAGCCAUUUUCUUUUGGAUUUUGGUCAUUUUACAUUGCAUACAAAAGAAGGUCCAGGAGAUGGGGAAAGGCAGAGCCUGUAUUCCCGCUUUUAUAUAUUGGGAAGAGACAUGGCUGCUUUUUUCAUAGAUGAUAUCUACAGUGAAAAAAGUACAGUAACUGCAAAACAUGGCAGUCAAACUUCAACUCCUUCCAACUUCGAGGAUGUUGAUCACUACUAUUCUCUCCUUGAUCGCUGUGGCAUGUCAGUCAUAGUUGACCAGGUCAAAAUGCCUCAUCCAAGUUACCCAUCAACUCGGGUUUCUGUACAAGUGCCAAAUCUAGAUAUUCACUUUUCACCAGAGAGAUAUAGCAGAAUCAGGAAACUGCUAGAUACAUUCUAUGGCUCAAUGGAAAGCAAUGGUCAGAACUCUGAUGGGUGUCCGCAAACUGGCCAUGUUCCUUGGCAUCCUGCUGAUCUAGCAACUGAUGCUAGAAUUCUUGUUUGGAAGGGGCUUGGCAACUCUUUGGCUGAGUGGCAACCUUGUUACCUUAUCUUAUCUGGGCUAUAUCUUUAUGUUUUUGAGUCCGAGGUUUCUCUAAAUUAUCAAAGGUGUUCCAGCAUGGCUGGUCGACAGGUGAUUGAAGUUCCACCAACAAGUGUUGGUGGGUCACUUUAUGCUGUUGCUGUGAGUUCUAGGGGUGUUGACAUCCAGAAGGCACUGGAAUCAACUAAUACUCUGAUUAUUGAAUUUCGUGAUGAUGAGGAAAAGACAACCUGGCUAAGAAAGCUUGUGCAAGCGACAUAUAGGGCCUCUGCUCCUCCUGCAGUGGAGAUGCUCAGGGAACCAAGUUUAUCAGAUUCUGGUGAGCCUCGUCUUGGUAAUUUGGGAGCAGCAGACCUUGUUAUCAAUGGCACACUUGUUGAAACUAAGUUGUCUGUUUAUGGAAAGCAGUUACAUGGAAAGCGUGAAAGUGCUGAAGAGGCAUUAAUUUUAGAGCUUCUUGCUGGUGGAGGAAAGGUAAACCUUCUCCGAAGUGGAGGUGACCUGACUGUGAAAACAAAGCUGCACUCUUUGAAAAUCAAAGACGAACUUCAAGGUCGUCUUUCUAUGUGUCCACAAUAUUUGGCAUGUUCCGUGCUGAAUGAUAAUUUUAAAGCUGAUAGCUGCUGUACCUUCGAUCUCGAUGAAAAUGAGUUGCAAAAUUUUUUUCUGGAAGAAGAUGAUUGUUUCAAGGAUGCAUUGCCAGAUUUCGCAUCUACUCCUGAUCGUAGCUUUAAUAUGCAAAACCUUGAUUUGGCAUAUAACUCAAUGACUAAUCCUGAUGCCUGUGAGCAGCAUGCUGGAGUCAAUUACACCAAUGUUGUAAACCAUGAAAAAAAUCAGGUGAAAGGGAGGAUCAAUGAGGUAUUCUAUGAGGCACGAGACAACACUGUUUCUGAUUUUGUGGCUGUUACAUUUCUGACCCGGAGUCCUGAUUCACUUCUGUAUGAUGGCAUUGAUACACAGAUGAUCAUCCGUAUGUCGGCACUGGAAUUUUUUUGCAAUAGACCAACUCUUGUAGCUUUGAUUGAGUUUGGCUUGGAACUGAGCCUGAUUGAUUCAGGGGAUAGUGGAAAUGAUAUUGUUGCCCCAACAACUGAUUCCAAUUGCUUGAAGGAAGAAAAUGGCCGUGCUUUAGUCAAGGGCUUGUUAGGCUAUGGAAAAGACCGUGUUGUUUUUAAUUUGAAAAUGGAUGUGGACAGUGUCUGUGUGUUUCUUAACAAGGAAGAUGGUUCUCAGCUUGCAAUGUUUGUGCAAGAAAGUUUUCUCUUGGAUCUCAAGGUUCACCCAAGCUCUAUAUCCAUCAACGGUACAUUAGGAAAUAUGCGACUCUGCGAUUUGUCCCUUGGACCAGAUCAUCGCUGGGGCUGGCUUUGUGAUAUACGCAACCAAGGGAUUGAGUCUCUUGUCAAGUUCACCUUUCAGUCAUAUAGUGCUGAUGAUGAUGAUUAUCAAGGGUAUGAUUAUAGCCUGAGUGGAAGACUUUCAGCAGUCCGCAUUGUUUUUCUUUAUAGAUUUGUUCAGGAGUUUACUUCAUAUUUUAUGGAGCUCGCCUCUCCACACACUCAGGAAGUAAUUAAGUUUGUCGACAAAGUCGGGGGCUUUGAAUGGCUGAUACAGAAACAUGAGAUAGAUGGUGCUGCAGCUGUAAAAUUGGACCUAUCAUUGGAUACUCCGAUUAUUAUCAUUCCCAAGAGUUCAACGAGUGAAGACUAUAUGGAACUAGAUCUUGGACAGCUGCAAGUGAAGAACAGUUUUGGUUGGCAUGGUUGCAAAGAGAAUGAUCCUUCAGCUGUACAUCUUGAUAUUCUUCAUGCUGAGAUACAUGGAGUCAACAUGGCUGUAGGAAUCAGUGGCCGUUUAGGGAAACCAAUGAUACGAGAAGGUCAAGCCAUUGAUAUUGAAGUGAGACGCAGUCUGAGAGAUGUCUUUCGUAAGGUCCCAACACUAUCUAUCAAAGUUCAGGUUGGUUUGUUGCAUGGUGUCAUGUCUGACAAGGAAUACAGUGUCAUAAUCAGUUGUUUAUACAUGAACCUGUCAGAACUCCCAAGGCUUCCUCCUAGUUUUCGUGGCAAUGUAGAUGAGACAAAGGAGUCAAUUCGUAUGCUUGCUGAUAAGGUCAACCUUAAUAGUCAAAUCUUACUCUCACGUACUAUUUUUGUUCUGGCUGUUGAGGUCCACUAUGCCUUGCUAGAGCUGUGCAAUGGUCUCGAUGAGGAGUCUCCCUUAGCUCAGAUUGCUCUAGAAGGACUUUGGGUUUCAUAUCGAUCAACUUCUUUGUUGGAAGCAGACCUCUACCUGACUAUUCCUAAAUUCUCUGUGCUGGACAUACGUCCUGAUACAAAGCCUGAAAUGCGUUUGAUGCUUGGCUCUUACUCGGAUGUUUUGAAGCCUUCUGUAUAUGAUAUUUCUGGUUCACCUGGAACUUGUCCAGGAUCACCUACAGACGAUGUUUCUACGAAGAAUUCAGAAAAUGCAACUGAUAUAGAUGUUUCUAACUUGACUAUGCUGGUAAUGGAUUACCGAUGGCGCUCAUCUUUCCAAUCUUUUGUUAUCCGCAUCCAGCAACCUCGUAUUCUUGUCGUUCUGGACUUCCUUCUUGCAGUUGUUGAAUAUUUUGUGCCUUCUUUGGGUGCAAUAACAGGAAGGGAGGAAAGCUUAAAUCCAAAGAAUGAUCCACUAACUAACAGUUAUGAUAUAAUACUUUCUGAAUCCAUUUACAUGCAAAGAGAUGAAAUUGUACACCUUUCCCCUAGAAGAAAGUUAAUUGUGGAUGGAUGUGGUAUUGAUGAGUUCAUUUAUGAUGGGUGUGGAGGUACAAUAUCUUUAAAUGAAGAGCUUGAUAUGAAAGGGCAAUCAUAUUCUGGAACUAUUAUCAUAAUUGGGCGUGGGCAGAAGUUGCGGUUCAAGAAUGUUAAAAUUGAGAAUGGCACAUUAUUGAGAAAGUGUACGUACCUGAAUAGUGGUAGCAGCUACUCAGUCUCUGCAGACGACGGUGUUGAGAUUUCAUUAUUAGAUAAUUCUGCUUCUAAAAUCAGUAAAGAAAGGUCAGUACAAAUUCAAGAAUGUAAAGAAGAGACUAAUGUUCAUAACGCUGUUGUUGAUGAUGCUACAAGUCAAAUGCUGAGUUUUACAUUUGAAGCUCAGGUUGUGUCUCCUGAGUUUACCUUCUAUGACUGUUCAAAAUUGUCCAUGGAUGAUUCCUUGCAUAUUGAGAAGCUUGUCCGAGCAAAGAUGGAUUUGAGUUUCAUGUAUGCUUCGAAAGAAAGUGACACCUGGGCUCGGUGUCUCAUGAAAGAUCUCACCGUUGAGGCUGGUUCAGGUCUUGUUAUUAUUGAGCCAAUCGAUAUUUCAGGAGGAUAUACUUCUGUUAAAGAUAAGACUAAUAUAUCAGUGACUUCUACUGAUAUAUGCAUCCACCUUUCUCUGAGUGUUGCUACUCUCUUACUUAAAUUACAAAAUCAGGCUCUUGCAGCAUUGCAAUUUGGUAAUAUUAAUCCACUAACUUCAUGUACAAGCUUCAAGCGACUUUGGGUAUCACCAGAAGGGGAGCUACCUGGCUACAAUCUGACCUUCUGGAGGCCUCAAGCUCCUUCUAAUUAUGCUAUUUUGGGUGAUUGUGUGACAUCCAGAUCAAUACCUCCUUCACAGGUUGUAAUAGCAGUUAGUAACACCUAUGGUCGCGUACGAAAGCCUCUUGGCUUCAAGCUCAUUUGUGUGUUAUCAAAUUUUGAAGAAUCUGGAGGAACCCUAUCAAAUAGUGAUAAUGAGUGCUCCAUCUGGAUGCCAAUUCCACCACUGGGUUACUCCACUGUAGGGUGUGUGGCACAUGUAGGAAACCAGCCACCUCCAAACCACAUUGUCUAUUGCCUUCGAUCUGAUCUUGUAGCAUCUGCUACCUUUUCAGACUGUAUAUACUAUGUUCCUUCUAAUCCAAGGGCUUUGUCUGGAUAUAGCAUCUGGCGCAUCGACAAUGUUGUCAGUUCAUUUCUUGUGCAUAAUUCGGUGGAAUGUCCUCCUGAAGGCGAAAGCUUCGAUUUGCACCAGAUUCUUCUGCACAAUUCAAAUUUGAAUAUGUCUUUCUCCAGUCAUCCCAGUUCUAACACCAGCAUUAAUAAUGAGCAGCAAAGUCAGCAAGGAGGAAACAGCAAUGGUGGUUCCUCUGGAUGGGACAUUCUGAGGUCGUUAUCAACAACUAGUAGUUAUUACAUAUCUACCCCACACUUUGAAAGGAUAUGGUGGGACAAAGGUUGUGAUCUAAGAAGGCCAAUUUCAAUAUGGCGACCAAUAUCACGUGUGGGAUAUUCUGUACUUGGCGACUGUGUAACAGAAGGGUUAGAACCACCUGCUCUAGGGUUGGUAUUCAAGUGCGAUAAUUCUGUGAUUGCUGCAAAUCCUGUGCAGUUCACUAAAGUUGCACAUAUAAGUAGAAAGGGGCUUGAUGAUGCUUUUUUCUGGUACCCAAUUCCUCCUCCUGGUUAUGCCUCCUUGGGAUGUGUAGUAACAAGAAUUGAUGAAGUGCCAAAGAAGGAUUCCUUUUGCUGUCCAAGGAUUGAUCUUGUUAACCAAGCAAAUGUUUCUGAUGAACCCAUUUCUCGGUCCUCCAGCUCCAAGGGCUCCAGCUGCUGGAGCAUCUGGAAAGUUGAAAAUCAGGCCUGUACUUUUCUUGCACGAUCUGAUCUUAGAAAACCAUCGAGCCGUUUGGCAUACAGUAUAAGUGACCAUGUGAAGCCUAGAGCACGUGAAAACAUUAGUGCUGAGAUGAAGUUGGGGUCUUUUUCAUUCAGUAUCCUGGACAGCUUGUGUGGGACGAUGACACCAUUGUUUGACACAACUAUUACAAAUGUAAAUCUUGCAACACAUGGACGUCUUGAGGCAAUGAAUGCUGUUCUUAUCUGUUCAAUUGCUGCAUCCACAUUCAACAGACAAUUAGAAUCAUGGGAGCCUCUUAUUGAACCAUUUGAUGGGAUAUUCAAGGUUGAAACAUAUGAUGCCAAUGAGCACCAACCAUCAAAAGUUGGCAAACGAGUUCGUGUUGCUGCAACAAGUACUGUGAAUCUUAAUGUCAGUGCAGCCAAUCUUGAAACCCUUACAGAAACUCUGGUUUCCUGGAGUAGGCAUAAUGAUUUAGAGCAGAAGUCAUCAAGAAAAAAUGAGGAAUCUGAUGAAGACUUAAGACAAAAUGUUGAUUUAUCAUAUUCUGCAUUGGAUGAAGAUGAUUUUCGAAAACUGAUUUUUGAAAAUAAACUUGGAUGUGAUGUUUAUCUGAGAAAAGUUGAGGGAAGCACUGAGUUGUUACAGCAUGACAACCAAAUGUCACUUUUGGUGCCACCCCCCAGGUUUUCAGAUAAGUUGAAUUCAGUUACCAAAGCUUGGGAAACUCGAUAUUAUGUUGCUGUUCAAAUCAUGGAGGCUAAGGGACUGCCUAUUGUAGAUGAUGGCAAUAGCCAUGAGUACUUUUGUGCUUUGCGAUUGCUGAUAGACAGUAAGGCCACAGAUCAGUAUAAGCUUUUUCCCCAGAGUGCAAGAACUAGGUGUGUGAGACCAUUGAUCUCAAAGAUGGAUGACUUGGGCGAGGGAUAUGCCAAGUGGAAUGAAAUUUUCAUAUUCGAAGUUCCUGAAAAGGGACGGGCAAAUCUGGAGGUUGAGGUUACAAACCUUGCUUCAAAAGCUGGCAAAGGUGAAGUUAUGGGCGCGUUGUCUGUUCCUAUUGGUAGUAGUUCUGGUACACUGAAACAGGCUGCUUCAAUAAAAAUACUGCAGCAAGCAGUUGAUGUACGGAAUCUUAUGUCAUAUCCUUUGAGAAGAAAGGGUCAGCUAUUUAUUGAUGAAGAGAGGAAUAAUUGUGGCAGUUUAGUAAUUUCCACUUCUUAUAUCGAACGAAAUGCUGACUUGAAUAUCCAAAGGGGAAUAGAGAGCACAACUAGCACUGAAAGAGAUGUUGGUUUCUGUGUUGGGCUUGGCCCAGCUGGGCCCUGGGAGAGCUUUGAUUCAGUUCUCCCUCUGUCUGUUGUUCCAAAGUCACUUGAUAGAAACCUUUUUGCCUUUGAAGUUGUCAUGAGGAAUGCAAAGAGGCAUGCAAUUCUUAGGGCUCUUGCUGUCAUUGUGAAUGAUUCUGACAUCAAGCUAGAAGUGUCUUUAUGCCCUGCCACCAUGCUCAGUGAUUGUGUUCUAAACACGGGACCAAACAGUGCUACCACAGUGACAGAAGAGGUCUUUGAAAAUCAGCGUUAUCAACCAAUUUCUGGUUGGGGAAAUAAGUCAUUCGGUUCUCACGGUAAUGACCCUGGACGUUGGAGUACCAGAGAUUUUUCAUACUCAUCAAAGGACUUUUUCGAGCCUCCACUCCCUGCUGGUUGGAAAUGGACAUCAGCCUGGAAAAUUGAGAAGUCUCACUUUGUGGACAAUGAUGGAUGGGCAUAUGGAACUGAUUUUCAGAGCUUAUUGUGGCCUCCAAAUUCUUCAAAAGCAUCUUCAAAAUCAGCUCUAGAUUGUGUACGUCGAAGGCGUUGGAUACGUACGAGGCAACCAUUACCUGACGAAAACACAGAUGGCAUGAGAAAUGUCAUUGCUGUUAUAAAUCCGGGAUCAUCAGCGGUUUUACCAUGGACUUACAUGGUUAGUGGUAUGGACACAUGCUUGCAGGCUCGUCCUUUUGCUGAAAGUUCUCAGGAGACAUACACUUGGGGUCAAAUGGUCACUUUGGGUUCUGGCAGGGAGCAAUCGACCAAUCAGCAAGCUCCACUUUCUAGACAGAACACCAUAAAACAUUCAAUUGUUCCAUCACAAAAUUCUGUUCUUAGAUUGAAUCAACUUGAGAAGAAGGACGUGCUCUCAUACUGUAACCCCAGUGCUAGUACUAAACAGUAUUUUUGGCUCAGCAUUGGUAUUGAUGCUUCAGUGCUUCACACAGAACUAAAUGCUCCUGUUUAUGAUUGGAAAAUAUCUGUUAAUUCAGCUCUCAGAUUGGAAAAUAAGCUUCCUUAUGAAGCUGAAUAUGCUAUAUGGGAGAGAACAGUUGAAGGGAAUAUGGUCGAGCGACAGCAUGGUAUUAUCUCAACAGGUGGAAAUGCAUUUGUCUAUUCAGCAGAUAUUCGAAAACCUAUUUACCUUACUUUGUUUGUUCAAGGUGGUUGGAUUUUGGAAAAGGAUGCCAUUCUAAUAAUGAAUUUGCUGGGCCAUGACCAUGCAUCGUCUUUUUGGAUGGUUCAACAACAAACUAACAGGAGGGUGCGUGUUAGUGUUGAGCAUGACCUGGGAGGAACUGAUGCUGCUCCCAAAAUAGUGAGGUUGUUUGUUCCAUAUUGGAUCCAGAAUGAUUCAGCAGUGCCAUUAUCAUAUCGUAUUGUAGAGGUCGAACCCCUGGAGAAUGCAGAUACUGACUCUCUCUUAAUUUCUAAAGCUGUUAAAUCUGCGAAAUUUGCCUUAAAACAUUCCUCAAAGUCCUUGGAUAGAAAAAAUCCUAGCUUAAGAAGAAAUAUUCAGAUAUUGGAAGUUAUUGAGGACUUUAGUCCCAAAUAUGUUAUUUUGUCUCCACAAGACUAUAUACUGCAUAGUGGAAGUUUGUCAUUCCAAUCUCGUGGUGAUGCUUUUAACUCAGCGCGUCUGGGUAUAUCUGUAGCUGUUCAGCAUUCAGAUAAUUACAGCCCUGGAAUUUCUCUUCUUGAGCUUGAGAGCAAGGAGCGAGUUAACGUUAAAGCAUUUGCUUCUGAUGGAUCAUAUUACAGGCUUUCAGCACACCUUAAAAUGGCUUCUGACAGAACAAAGGUUGUUCUUUUUCUACCUCGGACUCUAUUUAUCAACAGGACUGGACGCAGUGUAUCUUUGUCUCAGUGUAACACUAAAACAGAAGAGUGGUUUCACCCAGGUGAUACUCCAAAAUUAUUUAAAUGGCAAUCCAGUGCAAGAAAUGAAUUAUUGAAGUUGCGAGUGGAUGGAUACAAAUGGAGUACGCCAUUUAGCAUUGAAAAUGAUGGUGUAAUGUGUGUUUGCAUGAAGAGUGAUAAGGGAAAUGAUCAGAUGUAUCUUGGAGUGGAGGUAAGGGGUGGAACAAAAAGCUCACGCUAUGAAGUAGUGUUUCGUCUUGCUUCAUUGUCAAGCCCCUACAGGAUUGAAAAUCGUUCGAUGUUCUUACCUGUGCGCUUUCGCCAAGUUGGUGGUACUGAUGACUCCUGGCACAAUCUUCCCCCUAAUGCUGCUGCUGCAUUUUUCUGGGAAGAUCUAGGUAGACAAAGGUUAUUGGAAGUCUUAGUUGAUGGAACUGACACUUUAAGCUCUGAGUUGUACAACAUUGAUGAGGUUAUGGAUCACACACCCAUGCUGACAUCAAGUGGACCUACAAAAGCUGUACGUCUUACUGUUCUUAAGGAAGGGAAAAUACACAUCGGCCGAAUUAGUGAUUGGAUGCCAGAGAAUGAAACUCCAGAAAGCAUACAUGAAAUAGUUCCAUUACCAGUCUUUCAACCAUCUGAGACUGACUAUAAACAAUCUUCUUCAGCAUUGGAUAGUGAAUUGCAUGUCUCUUUUGAGGUAACAGAGCUGGGCCUAUCUAUUAUUGAUCAUAUGCCGGAGGAAGUUCUAUAUCUCUCAGUGCAGAAUCUUCUACUUUCUUAUUCAUCUGGAUUGGGCUCUGGAAUCAGUAGGUUCAAGUUACGAAUGCAUGGGAUUCAAGUAGAUAACCAGUUGCCUUUUUCUCCAAUGCCAGUUCUCUUUAGGCCGCAGAGAAAUGGGGAUCAGCUGGACUACAUUUUGAAGUUUUCAAUGACCAUGCAAGCUAAUAAUUCCCUAGAUUCUCGUGUGUAUCCAUAUGUUGGUCUACAGGUUCCUGAUAAUUCUGCCUUUCUAGUUAACAUCCAUGAACCAAUUAUUUGGCGCCUUCAUGAGAUGUUUCAACAAGCAAAACUUAGUACAGUAUUCAGUUCUUCAACUACUGCUGUUUCAGUUGAUCCAAUAGUCAAAAUUGGGCUGCUUAACAUCUCUGAAAUCCGAUUUAAAGUAUCAAUGGCUAUGUCACCAACACAACGACCAAGAGGUGUACUUGGAUUUUGGUCAUCUCUAAUGACUGCAUUGGGAAACAUGGAGCAUAUGCCGGUGCGUAUUGCUCAGAGAUUCCGUGAUGAAGUAUGCAUGCGUCAAAGUGCUCUUGUGAGUACUGCAGUAUCUAGCAUCCAAAAGGAUCUUCUUAGUCAGCCUCUUGGACUUCUCUCUGGCGUUGACAUUCUUGGCAAUGCCAGUAGUGCACUUAGUAGCAUGAGCAAAGGUGUUGCAGCUUUGUCCAUGGACAAGAAAUUUAUUCAAAGCCGACAGAAAAAGGAAAGCAAAAGUGUGGAAGACAUUGGUGAUGUCAUCAGAGAGGGAGGUGGAGCUCUUGCAAAAGGCUUCUUUCGAGGAGUGACAGGUAUCUUAACAAAGCCUCUCGAAGGUGCAAAAUCUUCUGGUGUUGAGGGUUUUGUCCAGGGUGUAGGGAAAGGAUUAAUUGGUGCCGCCGCACAGCCUGUUAGUGGGGUCCUAGAUCUUCUAUCAAAAACUACUGAAGGAGCCAAUGCUGUAAGAAUGAAGAUAGCAUCUGCUAUCACAUCAGAAGAGCAAUUGCUCCGUAGACGUGUUCCUCGAGUAAUUGGCGGGGAUAAUUUGCUCCGGCCAUAUGAUGAAUACAAAGCUGCUGGACAGGCUAUCUUACAGCUUGCUGAAUGUGGUACCUUUCUUGGUCAAGUUGAUCUAUUUAAAGUCCGAGGAAAGUUUGCAUUUACGGAUGCUUAUGAAGAUCAUUUUUUACUACCAAAAGGAAAGAUCCUGUUAGUCACUCAUCGAAGAGUUUUGUUGGUACAACAACCUACAAACAUUAUGAUUCAAAGAAGAUUCAAUCCAGCUAGGGAUCCAUGCUCAGUAUUGUGGGAUGUCCUGUUGGGUGACAUAGUGACAAUGGAGUUGACACAUGGGAAGAAAGAUAUCCCAGGAUCAUUACCUUCAUGCCUUAUCUUGUACCUGCAAAUUAGAUCGAUUGAACCAAAGGAAACUGCUCGUGUGAUAAAAUGCACCCAUGGAUCUCAACAAGCUACCAAAAUUUAUUCAGCAAUUCAGCAAGCACUGGAUGCUUAUGGUCCAAAUGCUUCAAAGGACAUGCAGAAAAGGAAGGUGCCAAGACCAUAUACUCCAUGUAGUUCUGUUGUCUGCCCUUUAGUUUAUCCUAAAGAAGAUUUUGGUAGUUGGGUUGUACAUGAUGAUAAAGGAUCAGUUCCUAUCAGUUCAGCUUUUGGCACGAUGCUUGCUCAACCUCAACCUGGGAAAGAGCACUAACAGUGAAAUUUAAAAGUCUUGAUACUUAGAGAGAGGGUAACUACUAGUGGUCUCUGAAAAAUUCAUGGUGUGUUGCAUUCUCAUUAUGCAACUAAAGGGAGAAACAUAUAUCUGCAAGAAAUCUUGGCGGUGCUAAACUUCAUGCUGCUACUACAAUGAAGGUCUUGGAGAUAACUACGGCUCAAAAGUUGUUGGCCAAAGGCUUGGUAAUCAGUAUCAGGCACUCGAUCUGGUAUAUUCAUGGAGGCAGAGGCAUGUGCAAAUCUGCAGCUUUUUGUCGUGCUUUGUUUUGUGUAUAAUUGCUUGGGAAGUCACUAAUCAUUGUGCAAUGGUCUGGUUAUAUUGUAAAUGUGCUUUCUUUGGUUUUAUUUCACUCCAAUUUAUCAAAAUAUUUGAGUGUGCAAAAGCUUUAGAUGAGGCUUUUAUGUUGCCUGGGAGAUUGAAGAUUUGUGUGGGUUAGUCACGCACUAUGUUCCAAUCAUAGUAGUUCAAUGACCAAAUUUUAGCGGUCAUACUAUUAUUUGUCAUGAAAAAUGGUAGUGCAAUGUAUCAAAAUAUUUAUGCUGCAAAAGCUUUGCAGAUUGGAAAGUUUAUAUUAGGGGAUCCUUGCAUUGCAUCCCAA